rnacentral:miRNA from 1 species
AAGGAGGAGGAGGAGGAGCAUGUGUCUGUCAUGCUCCUUUGCGGUUCCCACAUCCUGUGCUGGGAAUUGUGGGAACCGCAGGGAGCAUGAUAGACACAUGCUCCUCCUCCUCCUUC